CUCAAUGAAAUUUCAAUAGCCGCAAUAUUAUUUGUGCUAAGGUAGCAUAAUCAUUUGUCUUUUAAUUAAAGACUAGAACAAAAGAUUUAAUAUUUCUAUUUCUUUCUAACAUAUAAUUAUUUAAUUUAUCUUAAAUAUAAAAAGAUAUUUAUAAAAAAAAAAGACGACAAGACCCUAUUGAACUUAACUAAAGUUAAACUGGGGUAGUUAAUUAAAUACAAUUUUAAUUUAAAUUUCAAAAAAAUCUAAUAUAAUUAAAUUUAUCAAGUUACCAUAGGGAUAACAGCGUAAUAAUUUUCUAUAGCUCUUAUUAAAAAAAUAUCUUGCGACCUCGAUGUUGAAUUAAUAAUCUACUAAAUGCAAUAAUUUAAUAAGAAAGUCUGUUCGACUU
rnacentral:rRNA from 1 species